rnacentral:rRNA from 1 species
GAUGAACGCUGGCGGCGUGCCUAACACAUGCAAGUCGAACGGAGCUAUUUUGGAAAGUCCUUCGGGACUGGAAUCUAUAGCUUAGUGGCGGACGGGUGAGUAACGCGUGAGCAAUCUGCCCUUAGGUGGGGGAUAACAGCCGGAAACGGCUGCUAAUACCGCAUAAUGCAGAGAGAUGGCAUCUUCUUUCUGCCAAAGGAUUUAUUGCCUUUGGAUGAGCUCGCGUCUGAUUAGCUAGUUGGUGAGGUAACGGCCCACCAAGGCGACGAUCAGUAGCCGGACUGAGAGGUUGAACGGGCCACAUUGGGACUGAGACACGGCCCAGACUCCUACGGGAGGCAGCAGUGGGGAAUAUUGCGCAAUGGGGGCAACCCGUGACGCAGCAACGCCGCGUGAUUGAAGAAGGGCCUUCGGGUUGUAAAGAUCUUAAUCAGGGACGAAUUUUGACGGUACCUGAAGAAUAAGCU